rnacentral:lncRNA from 1 species
CUCCAAUCAUACAUUUCUAGUGGGCUUAGAAACAGAGCAUUAUUAUGCUCCUGGGCCACAGAGUUGGGUGUGCGACCUAAUUCCCUUGGCAAAUAUUCCCGUGGCACGUGACUAAAGACUAGCCAAUCAGAGUUCUUUCCUGAGAAAUGCGUAAGUUUUACAAGUGGGGAGAGUUCUCAUUCAUUUUUGGUCACAGAGCUGCGAGAACGUGUUCAAGAGCUACAGUCAGCCGUAUCCUCUACCAUGUAGAAUGUCCGAGAGAAUGAAAAAGACAAAAGCUGAAGGGAAGAAGAGGAAGAGAACCAUAUCAGCAGACAGAGGUGGAAAAAAGAAGCCACGGAAAGAGGUUGGUGGUGGGAUGCUCAUGUGUGCUGUCAGGCUCUUGACGCUGCAAGGACCAGCGCCUCACUCAGGUCGCCUUCGGGAAAAGUGCAAGGACACAUGUGGUGGAGCCUGACUCCCCUGCCCUUGAGUGUGGGCUGAACGGAGUGGCUCCCUUCUAAUGAGAGAAUUCGGCGGAAGUGAUGGUUUGUGACUUCCAAGACCAGGUCAUAAAAGACAUUGCACUUCCUCCUUGUCCUCCCUGGUGAACUGUGGAUUGCUCGCUCUGGGGGAAGCUGGCUGCUAUGUCAUAAGAUCACUCAAACAGCCCUAUGGAGAGGACCUCAUGGCAAGGAACUGUGGAGUCCUGCCAUCCAUCAACAAAGCACUGGGGCCCUCCGGCAAGUAACCACUGAGUGAGCCAAAUCGGGAGUGAAUCUUCCGGCCCCAGUCAAUCCUCAAAAUGAUUACAGCCCCAGUUGACAUCUUGACGCCUCCUCACGAGAAACCCUGAGCCGGAGCCAUCCUCCUAAACUGCUUCCACAUUCCUGACCCUCAGAAACUGUGAGAUAAUAAAUGUUCAUUGUUUUACGCUGA